CGCAUCUGUGCAUGCAGCAUAUCAAUAAGCGGAGGAAAAGAAAGCUAACAAGGAUUCCCUCAGUAACGGCGAGUGAAGCGGGAAGAGCUCAAAUUUGAAAUCUUGAAAGGUCACCUUUCACGAAUUGUAGUUUAAAGAAGUGUUUUCUGUUACGAUCGUAAUAUAAGUUCUUUGGAAUAGGACAUCACAGAGGGUGAGAAUCCCGUCUAUGAUUGCGAUUUGUAGCUUUGUGAUACACUUUCAAAGAGUCGGGUUGUUUGGGAAUGCAGCCCAAAACGGGAGGUAAAUUUCUUCUAAGGCUAAAUAUUGGCGAGAGACCGAUAGCGAACAAGUACCGUGAGGGAAAGAUGAAAAGAACUUUGAAAAGAGAGUUAAAUAGUACGUGAAAUUGUCGAAAAGGGAAGCGUUUAACACCAGUGUUGUUUUCUGAAAAUCAACCUCUGUUAGCUUUAUGCAUGUUUGUUUAGACCUAAUCAGCUAUCUUGCAUGUUCUAUUGUUUGCAGUGGUGCACUUUUCAGUUUAACAGGUCAACAUCAGUUUUUUUUACCGUAAAAAAGUUAAAGAAAGGUAGCUCAUGGCUCCGGUCGUGAGUGUUAUAGUCUUUUUCCUAUGCGGUAGGAGAGACUGAGGUCUGCAGUGUAGGCUAUUUGGCUAGAUACUCAGGUGCUAUGUGAUACCAUUUCAUAAACAACUUGUUGAUUAUGUUUUGUCUAUUGCAUACUCGCUUGUACUAUCAUACCUACGCUUAGGAUGUUGACGAUCAGCUGAGCGCG
rnacentral:rRNA from 1 species